rnacentral:rRNA from 1 species
GUGUCAGCAGCCGCGGUAACACCCGCAGCCCGAGUGGUAGUCACUUUUAUUGAGCCUAAAGCGUUCGUAGCCGGUUUUGUAAAUCCUCAGACAAAUUCUCCCGCUUAACGGGAGAUACUCUGGAGAGACUGCGAAACUAGGGACCGGGUGAGGUUGAAGGUACUUCUGGAGUAGGGGUAAAAUCCUGUAAUCCUGGAAGGACAACCGGUGGCGAAGGCGUCCAACUAGAACGGAUCCGACGGUGAGGAACGAGGGCUAGGGGAGCAAACCGGAUUAGAAACCCGGGUAGUCC